GCAGAGUGACAGGUGGUGCAUGGUUGUCGUCAGCUCGUGUCGUGAGAUGUUGGGUUAAGUCCCGCAACGAGCGCAACCCUUGAUCUUAGUUGCCAGCAUUCAGUUGGGCACUUUAAGGUGACUGCCGGUGACAAACCGGAGGAAGGUGGGGAUGACGUCAAAUCAUCAUGCCCCUUAUGACCUGGGCUACACACGUGCUACAAUGGGCAGAACAAAGGGCAGCGAAGCCGCGAGGUUAAGCCAAUCCCACAAAUCUGUUCUCAGUUCGGAUCGCAGUCUGCAACUCGACUGCGUGAAGCUGGAAUCGUUAGUAAUCGCGGAUCAGCAUGCCGCGGUGAAUACGUUCCCGGCC
rnacentral:rRNA from 1 species